rnacentral:tRNA from 1 species
UGCCUCUAUAGUGUAAUUAACACAUCGGUUUUUCGUGCCGGCGAUGGACAGUUUAGGUUCUAGAGGUAA